rnacentral:rRNA from 1 species
AUGCGCAAGAUUCUUCUGUUUGCUAUGGGUCCUGGACGAUGGCAAGCAUUGACGUGCGUACGCCGUUGCAACAGCCACACCUCAACCCUCCCGACGCACGCAAUAAUCAGCGGUGCCAAAAUGAUUUGGUGUUUGCAAAGGUCGCUUUUGUUGCAUUUUCUACGUGAGAAACCAUCUCAGGCUGUAAGUUUGCACAGCCUGGACACUUCACUUGCAUAUCUUGUUAGUUACUGA